rnacentral:tRNA from 1 species
CGAGAUGUAGCUAUAAAUGAAAGCACUCAGCUUACACCUGAAAGAUACCUGCCCCCCACAGGUCGUCUCGA